AUGCCUGUAAUCCCAGUGCUUUGGGAGGCUGAGACAGGUGGAUCACUUGAGCACAGGAGUUUGAGACCAGCCUGGCGAUCGGGCCACCUCAGCUUCCCAAGGUAUUGGGUGACCUACCAUUCCCGGCCUUAAGAGACUAAUUCUUUAUUAUUAAAAACAGUGACAACAAUAAAAAUACGAAUUCAGCAAAUAUAUGUUGAAUAUCUACUACAUGCCUGAAUAGGAUAAAAAUAUGAAGUAAUUAUUAAGGAUGUUUAUCAUUUUAGGCAACUUGGCAGGAUCUUCUUGGGGGACAAAUUGUUGUGGUUUACUCUGUGCCCUUAGGCUGGUCAUCAGCUCAGGAGAUAGCUCCAAGAACGUGAGGCCUUAUGGGUGAAAUACAUAUUAACUGACAAAGGAACUCCUCAGAAUAGCAUAGAAAUAGUGUAGCAGUGCCUUUCUGAAGAAAUUAUUAACUGCAUGACCACUUGUAUAGAAACAGUUGUCUAUUUUUCAAGGCUGGUUUUAACAAUGGUACAUUGACCAAGCACCACUGACAAUGAUUACAAAUUUUGUAGGAACAAUUUGCAGGAAUUCAGCAAUCAAGGAUUUUUAAAAAGAAGAGGAAUAAAUUUACUACAUAUUUCUAUUAUUAGAACCUAUAAUUAGAAAUUAUCAGAACCUUAAGUUUAAAAAGGACACAGAAGGCUGAGUGCAGUGUCUCACGCCUGUAAUGCCAACACUUUGGGGGGCCAAGGCGGACAGAUCACCUGAGGUCACAGGUUCGAGACCAGCCUGGCCAAGAUGGUAAAACCCCGUCUCUACUAAAAAUACCAAAAAAAAAAAAAAAAAAUUAGCUAGGCAUGGUGGCGGGUGCCUCUAAUCCCAGCUACUUGGGAGGCUGAGGCAGGAAAAUUGGUUGAACCCAGGAAGCAGAGGUUGCAGUGAGCCAGGAUUGUGCCACUGCACUCCAGCCUGGGUGACAAGAGUGAGACUCUCUCACAAAAUAAAUAAAUAAAUAAAUAAAUAAAUAAAUAAAUAAAAUGAAAAGGACACAGAAUAAUAAGAUUCUAUAACCUGAUGCUCUCUAUCACUUUUUCCUAUAGUGAACCAAUAACACAGUCUCCCUAACCAAUGCUAAUUAUUUGUAGAAUAAUAUUGACAACUUGAAGAAAUGUUGAUUUGCUUGAAAGCAAACAGCAAGCCUUCCUUUUCAUUAACAGUAUUUGGCUAAAUUAUUUUAAGUGUGGCUUAAGUUACAAUUGUUUUGUAGCUUAUUUUCAUAAUGUACUGGUGAAUGUGUAUACUGUUUAUACAAUUAAUGAAGUUUUAGAAACAUGAAAACUUACUUCACCUCUCCUAUUAAAUCUUUGUAAGUAAGGUGAGUUGCUCAGAUUUCUGGGCCAGGAAGAUGUGAAAGAGUGAAGAUUGUCCAAAGUCCAAAAAUUUUCAACCCUAAUCUAUAAAUUUACAGUAUUAUAUUGGCUAUGAUUCAUAGAAAUCACAUUAAGUUUAAAAUAUUCAUGCAUAUUAUUUUUUAAAGUUCUCCAAGAGUAAGUCAUUUCCUUCUGUAUUUUUGGAAAAGUGAAUAUUCAUUUCUCCCUGGUAAUAUUAAAUUAUGACAAUCUUUAGCAUUCAAAUUAACCUGUCAAAUUAUAUUCUUCAAAAUUCUCCAACAUUUGCAGAGCUAUGAGAAACUUCUGAAAGUGAAAAAUAUCAAGAUUUGGUGGCUAUGGACCAGAGUGAAAAAAAUAAAUACCAAAAAUUAUACAAUUCCAUCAUAGACUAUUAAGAAAGAAUCAGAUACAACCUAAGCAUAUUUUGGAUCAAUAAUUAUUACAGAUUUCUAUGAAUAAAAAAACCUCCAGUGUUAAAAGACGUUGGAUUAGCAUUUCCAGAAAUCUAUGACUAAUGCCAUUAUACUCUCUGUCCCAGGGACUUUAUUAUUACAUCAUCUCUUAAGAAACUUUAAAUAUUAAUCCAUAGGUUAUUCUCAGCAUGCAACCCAUUACCUUUUUUUCUCAUUCAGGGUACCUUCUCAUUUAGCACAAAUAAAUUAAUGUAAUUCUUUUAACAUGCUAAAGUAAAGAGAAUAAGAUGAUGAUAUUUAAGUUUGCAUUAAUUUAAAGUGAAUAGAAAUACUCUAUGCAAAGACUGUACCUUGCCAGUCUCUUUUUGUCUUCACAGAUUAUUUCUGAAGGCACAACCUCAAAGGAGUGUUAUUUUUGACAAAUAAACCCCCAGAAAUAUUCUAUAAUUUAAGUAAUCUUGAAAUAAAUCACAACAUUCACAUUUUCCUCCUAAAAUCAUACAAAUCCUUCUUCGGAAGAUAAUUUCUCUCAUGUGUUAACAAGGUAAGUCUCCUACCCUGCUGUGACACACGCAGGUGUAGGUGGGCUACCUUUAUCCUCUCACCUUUACCACUUCUGAGCACACAGCUUGACUUCAAACUUACCAGCUCAAGGACUUCUUUGUUUAGGGCAUUCUCCGUUGCUGGAACCCACUGCCACUGGUGCUUAUGCAAGCAGGCCAGAAGUGCCAGGGAAUGAAUGCCCCUCUGGUUGCUCUCACUCAAUGCCUGAGAGAAGUUGGUGUAUAAAUAUCUCAGCUCUUUCUGCCCUGGGUGGAAUAACCGAGGUGUAUGUGUGUGUUUUGUACUGGUUCUCAGAAUGUCCCCAGGACCAGUAAGUUCCAGGAACCCACAGUGGUAACUGACUUAGUAAUACAUCAUUUAUUGGCUGCCUUGCCUUUCUUACUUCCCCAGUAACUUCCCCAUUCUACUGUGGUGGUUUCUUUUUGGUUUGUUUUGGUUUUGCACCUUCUAAAU
ensembl:lncRNA